CACGGGCGAAGACGCUUGUCAUCUAAUCAAACGCUCUCACACACGGUGCUAGACGCAAGCAGUACAACACGCCAUCCGUUUCCUCGUCAGUCGAGAUGGCAUCGCCGCAGUACUCCACUCCGUAUUCAGUGCUGAGCUACCCCACCUACACUCCCCUCUCCGUGGCGCCUGUUAAGGAGAAUGGAUCGCCGGUGGAUACGGAUCUCUCGCUACUUCGUGCUGCUGUGAGAACGGAUGUGGCCCAUCAGCAAGCAGCACCGUCGCCUGCGCUCCAGCGGAUGGGCACGCCGUCUGCAGCGGCCAACAGCUGGGCUGGGUGCCGUGCGCCAGACGUCGGGACGGCCUCUCGAGUGCAGCCUGGUGAGUUGCUCUCUGCUACCCCUCACCUCACUCGUGUCAACGCCCCGCUCUACGCCCCACCUGGCGCAGUGAAGAUGGAGUCAGGGCUACGCGGCGGUGUGUCUCCCUCCGUGCCCGCCGCUCAGCCAUACUACAACGACAUUGCUAGCAUCCGAGAUCUGCCCACUGUGCCCUUGACGCAUCAACUCCCUUCUCCCUCCCGCGCUCAUGCGCUGGUGGUGGACGGAACGGAGGUGGAAGUACAGUCUGAUGUGGUUUCGGUCUCGCAGGCCGCGCCGAACUUGUGCGCUUUUCAGCAGGAGUGUCAGUCCCUUCUGGCACUGCUGAACGCUUCCUCUCGCCCGCGGCGGGUGACACCGCCGCCGAGCAGCGCGGUCGCCCCUUCGCAAACUCCGCCUUCACCCACCUCGAAGGCUGACUCCACUGGCGCCCUGGAGCCUGCCGUUCACAAGGAAAGGCAACCGGUGGCCAUCCCGUUAGCUCACGAGCCGGUAUCGACCUUAUCUUCCGCAGAGGAGUCGCCGCCAUCGCCAUCUGUAGUAUCGGAAAGGGUGGGUGUGGGGGUGGCUACAGCGGCCCCUGCGCAUUCAACAACGUACGCGCAGCUGAUGCAGGAGAUGGACGAUCUUGCCGGCCUGCUGAACAAAGAGGAGGAGGGCUGUCGGGGGCAGCACAGCGCGGCGUCUCGACAGCAUAGCGAAACCGGAGCUACACCAGCACACGGGGCUAGGGGUGAUUACGCGGCUCCCAUCGCACCGCUGCCAUGCGUGAGGGUGACGAGCUCGUUGGCGGACACCCCUGAGAAGCAACGUCGACAGGCGGUUUCGAUGCACCGGCGCGAUCGAUCUCAGAAUCCUUCGCUGUCUCCUCUUCUUGCUCCGAGAGCGGCAGAGUUGGUGCACGCCCCGACGAGUCCCUUGUGGGCAGCGCAGCUACUGAAGUGGAUUAUCUACCUUGUGGAGCGGCGACAGAGCGCGCUGCAGCGCAUCCAAGCUUUUGAGGACGCCCGUGCACCUGGCCGGCGUGGGGCGUGCGCCGGCACCGUCGCUGGAGAAUCAGCCGCUACCGCACCGCCCUCAGCGAUCCGCGUGACGGAGGGGCUGCUGCAACUGCUGCGCUCCCUCAACACGGAGACCGGCGAUGUGGAUAAGUGGACCGUUUCCGAGAAACGACACAUGUGCACGCGCAUCGCAAACCUUCUGGCAGAGAUGACAGCGACGGAAGAGGAUGCGAUGGCAGAUCUCCUGAACGAUGCCGCAGCAGGGGCCACGCUGGAGCGGGAAAUCACUGCCAAAGAGCCAAGCGCUACUGUUUCAGCGGCACCGCCACCGUCGAGUGCUGUCUCGGAGGCGUAUCGGCAAGACAUGAUGGACACACUUACUCUCCUCGACCAAAUCUCGCAGGAGAACAAGACGCUGAAGCUGCGUGUGGAGGAGGCGCAAGGGCAAGCCACACGGCUGGGUGAUGAAGUGGAGCGCGAAAGAUCCGCGAACAUGGAACUGGGCAAGUACUUCGAUCAACUUGCCGCAGAUAACAGCAGGCUUACCGCAGAACUGAGUGGGAUGGAGUCCAAGCUGAGGCAAGCAGAGGCGGUGGUCAAAUCGGUAUCGCAGGAGGAGUUGUUGCGCAACCAGCUAGACCGUCAGACGCUACACUUGCGCGAUGUGCGCGCCGAGCUGGAUGACGUGAAGGACGAGAGCAACACGCUGCGAAAGACUAUUCUGCAGCUGCGAGACGCGCUGGUGCGACACCGAGCCGUCAUUGACCUGCUGACGCGCCGCCGGCGUGAGCGAGAGCGCGCUGCGGCGGCGGCAUCAAGACGAUCGGGCAGCCGGCGCGCUCUCAGUCCGCGGUUUCAAAGCCCUUCCAUGCAACUCAUCGAGGACAUUCUCUCCGGUGCCUGCGACCCGCCGUCGUCCUCAUCGUCCUCGCCACCGUCAGCAGUGAAGUACUCAUGCGACGAUGAUGCUGGUGGGGACUUUAGCGCUCCCUCACCCCCACGGUGAAGUCAGCGCUGCCCAGCUCUUCGCUUGUCAUCACAAUUGUUUCUCUAGUGUUGUUGUUUUCUGUUGUUUCGCACCCCUUUAGAUCUGCGCACAUUCGGGGGCGGGGCGAGGAGGUGGGGGUGGGUGGAAGAGGUCAUGCGUGCAACGUCUCAAACAUGCAGACGGAGCACGCCCCCUUUUCCCUCAGCACCUUUUUCCUCAUUCCGAGCCCCCCUUGAAAGCACACUCACGCAUAGAUGCCUUCCUGCGACUGGCUCGUCACUCCAGGUGGCUGUCGGUUAGUGCGAUGAUGAGACGGCGCACAUGCACACAAGGCUGUCCACGUACUGGGGCAUCGACAGACCCUUGUGACCAUGGACGCUUCUUUCCGCUUCGUUCUCUGUUCUUUUCGCGCCCGUUGAUGACAG
rnacentral:misc_RNA from 1 species